rnacentral:miRNA from 10 species
CCGGGCCUCUCGCGGCUCACAGCGUCCCGCGGGGCCGGCGCCGGGGCCGGGGCUGGGGCUCCGGCCGGGGCCGAGC